CCUACGGGAGGCACCAGUGGGGAAUAUUGCACAAUGGGCGCAAGCCUGAUGCAGCCAUGCCGCGUGUAUGAAGAAGGCCUUCGGGUUGUAAAGUACUUUCAGCGGGGAGGAAGGCGAUAAGGUUAAUAACCUUGUCGAUUGACGUUACCCGCAGAAGAAGCACCGGCUAACUCCGUGCCAGCAGCCGCGGUGAUAUGGAGGGUGCAAGCGUUAAUCGGAAUUACUGGGCGUAAAGCGCACGCAGGCGGUCUGUCAAGUCGGAUGUGAGAUCUCCGGGCUCAACCUGGGAACUGCAUUAGAAACUGGCAGGCUGGAGUCUUGUAGAGGGGGGUAGAAUUCCAGGUGUAGCGGUGAAAUGCGUAGAGAUCUGGAGGAAUACCGGUGGCGAAGGCGGCCCCCUGGACAAAGACUGACGCUCAGGUGCGAAAGCGUGGGGAGCAAACAGGAUUAGAUACCCUGGUAGUC
rnacentral:rRNA from 1 species